rnacentral:rRNA from 1 species
CAAAAGCGUAUAUUAAAGUUGUUGCAGUUAAAAAGCUCGUAGUUGAACCUUGGGCUUGGCUGGCCGGUCCAUCUUUUUUGAUGCGUACUGGACCCAGCCGAGCCUUUCCUUCUGGCUAGCCUUUUGGCGAACCAGGACUUUUACUUUGAAAAAAUUAGAGUGUUCAAAGCAGGCCUUUGCUCGAAUAUAUUAGCAUGGAAUAAUAGAAUAGGACGUUAUGGUUCUAUUUUGUUGGUUUCUAGGACCAUCGUAAUGAUUAAUAGGGACGGUCGGGGGUAUCAGUAUUCAGUUGUCAGAGGUGAAAUUCUUGGAUUUACUGAAGACUAACUACUGCGAAAACAUUUACCAAGGACGUUUUCAUUAA